rnacentral:rRNA from 1 species
GACAGAGGGGGCAAGCGUUGCUCGGAAUCACUGGGCGUAAAGGGCGCGUAGGCGGGAUGGCAAGUCGGUCGUGAAAUCUCUCGGCUCAACCGAGAAACGUCGGCCGAUACUGCCGUUCUUGAGGGAUGCAGAGGAGACUGGAAUUCCCGGUGUAGCGGUGAAAUGUGUAGAGAUCGGGAGGAACGCCGGUGGCGAAGGCGGGUCUCUGGGCAUUUCCUGACGCUGAGGCGCGAAAGCGUGGGGAGCGAACAGG